rnacentral:rRNA from 1 species
UACGGGGGGGGCAAGCGUUGUUCGGAAUUACUGGGCGUAAAGGGCUCGUAGGUGGCCAACUAAGUCAGACGUGAAAUCCCUCGGCUUAACCGAGGAACUGCCUGUCAAACUGCAUGGCUUGAGACCGGGAGAGGUGAGUGGAAUUCCCAGUGUAGCGGUGAAAUGCGUAGAUAUUGGGAGGAACACCAGUGGCGAAGGCGGCUCACUGGCCCGGUACUGACGCUGAGGUGCGAAAGCGUGGGGAGCAAACAGGG